UUUAGAGUUUGAUCCAUGGCUCAGGAUGAACGCUGGCGGCGUGCCUAAUACAUGCAAGUCGAGCGAACUGAUUAGAAGCUUGCUUCUAUGACGUUAGCGGCGGACGGGUGAGUAACACGUGGGCAACCUGCCUGUAAGACUGGGAUAACUUCGGGAAACCGAAGCUAAUACCGGAUAGGAUCUUCUCCUUCAUGGGAGAUGAUUGAAAGAUGGUUUCGGCUAUCACUUACAGAUGGGCCCGCGGUGCAUUAGCUAGUUGGUGAGGUAACGGCUCACCAAGGCAACGAUGCAUAGCCGACCUGAGAGGGUGAUCGGCCACACUGGGACUGAGACACGGCCCAGACUCCUACGGGAGGCAGCAGUAGGGAAUCUUCCGCAAUGGACGAAAGUCUGACGGAGCAACGCCGCGUGAGUGAUGAAGGCUUUCGGGUCGUAAAACUCUGUUGUUAGGGAAGAACAAGUACCGAGAGUAACUGCUCGUACCU
rnacentral:rRNA from 1 species